ACACUUGGUGUUGGGCUGAGGACGUGAAGCUGUUGCAUGAAGAAAACAUGUUGCCUUCUGCACCUCUUCAAGAAGUUGCUGGAUGCAUUGUUGAUGGACCAAGGCCGUAAGCUGCACCUCCUUUGCUUGCAGGAUGAAGAUGUGGCUCUGUGUGUAGGCUGGACCGUGCUGUAUAACCAAAUUGCUGAUUCAAAUGGGUCGUGAAGAUGUGUGUUGAUCCGUGAUGCAAGUGGGUGUGCUGCUCUUGGCCGUGAAGAAGCUUGCUAGCUGCAGCCGUGCUAUCCAAGUUGCUGAACGUGCCAACCUGCAGCUUCAGUAAGUGACCGUGUGCGCUGGACCAGCUGCUGUCCAAGAACUCAAUUUUCAUGGGCCUGCUGGAUGAGAAGUUGUGGACGUGAUUCUGCCCAAGUGAUGUUGCUGCUUUUGGAAGCUACUUGAAUUUCCAGAUGCGCCUUUGAUUGCUGCAUGCUGCUGCUAUACAUAACCUGGACGUGUGAAUAGGUGUGGCAGCUUUGCUAUACGUUGCUUUAGUGUAAGCUGGGAGCUGGGCCAUGUAAAUAUUGGGUGAAGCAGGGAGGUGUGCGGACUGCUGCAAUAGUGGGCUGCUGCUUUCUUCUCUCGGGUGCAGCCUUGCAUAGUUGCAAUUGUGGGCCGUGUUUUGAUGGAGUGUUGGAUGCUUGCUGCAGGAUUAAUUUGGAACGUGGCAGCUGAACAUAUUUGAGACGUGGCAGCUCAUCAUUCAAUUGCAAAUUCAACGUGUUGCAGCGUGUUCCCUCACCAAGCUGUUGGACUUGCGUGUUGCUGCAACCUUCCUUGGGUGGCAACUAUUCCCUUAAAGAUGAAACCCGCGUCCUUCUCCUGGUGGAUCCGUGAUCACCAAGCUAGCUGGACAGCAUCCAAAAUUCUCGCUGCACCACCAUGUGCCUUUAUUUUUCUUUUAAAAACCAAAAACCAAUUGCCACUGUGGGCC
rnacentral:lncRNA from 1 species